ensembl:ncRNA lncRNA:CR45833 long non-coding RNA:CR45833
ACGACGCCAGCAGUUGCAGCCAUAGUGCCUCCUCGUACGACCCUCGUCCGUCCGUUCGUCAUUCAUGCACUUAUGCCCAUUGUCAGUUAGUCAGGCCGUCGCCAGUCGACAGGCAUUGUCACAACUCUUGCCACGCAGCCCAUUUUCCUCAUUUUCCCCAACACCAACCAGCCUCCUUUGCACCCAAUCCCCAUCCCAUACCAUACCAUUCCUCAUCCCAUCCUUUCCAUAUCCCGGCCCCUUUGUGCGUUGUCGCUUCAACGCCCACGCCUUCGUGCCAAGCCAUCCAAUCCCGUCCCGUCCCCAUACCAUCCAUAUUCCCUACCAAUGACUUUGCCAGCUUUGGCGGAGCGCAAACAUUUUUUAAUUACGCAAAUGUUGGGCUGCCCAGCUCGUUUU